rnacentral:rRNA from 1 species
GAGGGUCUCGCGGCCUAUCAGCUAGUUGGCGGGGUAACGGCCCACCAAGGCGACGACGGGUAGCUGGUCUGAGAGGAUGGCCAGCCACAUUGGGACUGAGACACGGCCCAGACUCCUACGGGAGGCAGCAGUGGGGAAUCUUGCGCAAUGGCCGCAAGGCUGACGCAGCGACGCCGCGUGUGGGAUGAAGGCCUUCGGGUUGUAAACCACUGUCAGGGGGAACGAAUACACGCUUCGUGCGUGGGUGACGGUACCUCCAAAGGAAGCACCGGCUAACUCCGUGCCAGCAGCCGCGGUAAUACGGAGGGUGCGAGCGUUGUCCGGAAUCACUGGGCGUAAAGGGCGCGUAGGCGGCCCGUUAAGUGGCUGGUGAAAUCCCGCGGCUCAACUGCGGGGCUGCCGGUCAGACUGGCGAGCUAGAGCACGGUAGGGGCAGAUGGAAUUCCCGGUGUAGCGGUGGAAUGCGUAGAGAUCGGGAAG